GGCUUCGGCCGGACGGAUUGGGAUCUGAGUGGCGGACGGGUGAGUAACACGUGAGCAACCUGCCUUUAAGAGGGGGAUAGCACCUGGAAACGGGUGGUAAUACCGCAUAAGACCACAUUGCCGCAUGGCGAAGGGGUCAAAGGAGAAAUCCGCUUAAAGAUGGGCUCGCGUCCGAUUAGCUAGUUGGUGAGGUAGAGGCCCACCAAGGCGACGAUCGGUAGCCGGACUGAGAGGUUGAACGGCCACAUUGGGACUGAGAGACGGCCCAGACUCCUACGGGAGGCAGCAGUGGGGGAUAUUGCACAAUGGGCGAAAGCCUGAUGCAGCGACGCCGCGUGAGGGAAGACGGCCUUCGGGUUGUAAACCUCUGUCAUUCGGGACGAAGAAGAUGACGGUACCGAAGAAGGAAGCUCCGGCUAACUACGUGCCAGCAGCCGCGGUAAUACGUAGGGAGCAAGCGUUGUCCGGAAUUACUGGGUGUAAAGGGAGCGUAGGCGGGAAAGCAAGUUGGAAGUGAAAGACUGAGGCUUAACCUCGGAACUGCUUUCAAAACUGUUUUUCUUGAGUGAAGUAGAGGCAGGCGGAAUUCCUAGUGUAGCGGUGAAAUGCGUAGAUAUUAGGAGGAACACCAGUGGCGAAGGCGGCCUGCUGGGCUUUAACUGACGCUGAGGCUCGAAAGCGUGGGUAGCAAACAGGAUUAGAUACCCUGGUAGUCCACGCUGUAAACGAUGAUUACUAGGUGUGGGGAGUUACGGCUCUCCGUGCCGGAGCAAACGCAAUAAGUAAUCCACCUGGGGAGUACGGCCGCAAGGCUGAAACUCAAAGGAAUUGACGGGGGCCCGCACAAGCAGUGGAU
rnacentral:rRNA from 1 species